ACAUUAUCGGAGUAGUUAAAAUUGAAACUGAUUUUUGUUUCAAACGAUCUCUUAGCUGAUUUUCUUCAUCAAUUUUAUCUAAUCCAGUCUCUACUGCAUCAUAGAAUUCUUCAUCACAAAGAGCACUAUGUGGACCUUCCUUAAACAUUAAAAUUUUUUUUUACUAUGUUAUGUUUUUUUAAAGAUAUUUUGUUAAUUAAUAAAAUCGAACCUCAUAAUCUGGACCUCCAUGAAUAAGAACUCUAGGUCUAGGAAAGUCACUUUGUUGCAUUGUAACUUGUUCUUUCAAAGCUUUGUAAAGUUCUUGCACUUUUCGUUUUCUCUCGAUUUCUUUUUCCCAUCUACGACGCCAUGCAUCUUCUCGUUGCACCAUUAAUUCAACACAAUGCUGUAAUGUUGCUAGCACACCUUCACUUGUCGCUUUAAAUGUUAUUGCUUCCCCUUUAAAGUCCACAGACUGUUCAGCUGGAUUAAACAUUGUCUCCACUUUAUUUUCUGAAACAAUUUUCCCAUUCACUUUCGUGGAAAUAUUUUUAGCAUUUUCUGCACAAUUAUCAAAAUAUUUCUGCAAAGUAUCAAUUUGUUUGAUCAGAAUAUCUCUGAAAGUUUCAAGUUCUGCUAACUUUUCCUUUAGUCCUCUAACUCCACGUUUAGUGAAGCUACCUGCACUUGUAAUAGAUUGUGUAUUUGAUAUAAGUGAAAUGGCACUACCAUGUCGCUUCAAACUGUUUUCACUUCCAUAACCUGAUUCCGACUGUUUAAAGCAAACAUAUAUAUUUUUUAAUAGAACAAAGAAACAUUAGAUUUAUCCAAUAAGUUACUUAAUUUAUAUAAUAAAAUUUUAGUACCUUAUAAGAUUUCAAAACAUCCACCCAACGCUGCUUUUCUUCUGGGUUACUUGCUCUCAAAUACCAUACUAAGCAAUCGUUUACAGACACAUCGAAUCUACAUUCAUCAAAUUCGUGAGCCUAAUAAAACAAAUAGUAUACAGUAAUAUCAUGAGUUUUUUACCAAUUUUAUCAGAGAAUUAAAUCUUAUAGGAGACUGAUUCCUUUAUGCCAAUUCAUACCUUAAUAUUAGCUUUAUAUAAGCUUAUUGAACCUCGACAUCCAAAUCCACUGUCCUGCUCAGAUUUGUAAUAAGAUAAAGUACCAUCUUUGAGAACAAUAAAUCUAGUUUGCCAGCCAUGUAUAUAAUUUGUCCAUUUGGAUAAUGUACCCUGAAGUUCUGGAACCACAACUCCAUCUGAACCUUCUUCAUCUACAUCAUCAGCAUCUAUCUCUCCUUCCAUACAUUCAAUAUCGUCGUUGGCAAGUCGAAUCGUUUCUGUUUCAUCGGCCAUUCUUGCGAGUAAAUCUCACUUCCAGAAUCAAUUACUUUUAAAAUAAACUUAACAUAUCCAAAUAAUAUCUUUAAAGUUACUCUAACGCGGGAUAAUCUAUCGAUAGUUAUUCUACAGUUACAGUAAUUUGAAAAUUGCAAAGUAAUUAACCAGUAAUUGUUCACAAAAUAAGUUUCAGAACAUAUUGAUCGUUAAUAAUCAUAUGUAUUGUUAUAUAAAAUGUCUUAUCAAAUAAAUGAGACAUCAACAGCUUGUAUUUUUCGGCAAAUAACAAGACUAAGUGCCAAAUAAGAAAAUCAACAGUUUUAUUUAAGCAGUAUUUUCAUGAAUGUCAUAUGUGCGCUAUAAUCUUUCUUGAUUGGUCAUAUUCUUGAAAAUUAAAUAUUUUUAACAUUCCUUA
rnacentral:misc_RNA from 1 species